rnacentral:rRNA from 1 species
UACGAAGGGGGCUAGCGUUGUUCGGAAUUACUGGCGUAAAGCGCACGUAGGCGGAUACUUAAGUUCAGGGGUGAAAUCCCGGGGCUCAACCCCGAAACUGCCUUUGAUAACUGGGUAUCUCGAAGUCCGGAAGAGGUGAGUGGAAUUCCGAGUGUAGAGGUGAAAUGCGCAGAUAUACAGGGAGAACACCAAUAGCGAAGGCAGCUCGCUGGGACGGUACUGACGCUAAGGCGCGAAAGCGUGGGGAGCGAACAGG